AUUGAACGCUGGCGGCAUGCUUUACACAUGCAAGUCGAACGGUAACAGGCCGCAAGGUGCUGACGAGUGGCGAACGGGUGAGUAAUGCAUCGGAACGUGCCCAGUCGUGGGGGAUAACGCAGCGAAAGCUGCGCUAAUACCGCAUACGAUCUAUGGAUGAAAGCGGGGGACCGUAAGGCCUCGCGCGAUUGGAGCGGCCGAUGUCAGAUUAGGUAGUUGGUGGGGUAAAGGCUCACCAAGCCGACGAUCUGUAGCUGGUCUGAGAGGACGACCAGCCACACUGGGACUGAGACACGGCCCAGACUCCGACGGGAGGCAGCAGUGGGGAAUUUUGGACAAUGGGCGCAAGCCUGAUCCAGCAAUGCCGCGUGCAGGAAGAAGGCCUUCGGGUUGUAAACUGCUUUUGUACGGAACGAAAAGGCUCUGGAUAAUACCUGGGGCUCAUGACGGUACCGUAAGAAUAAGCACCGGCUAACUACGUGCCAGCAGCCGCAGUAAGAC
rnacentral:rRNA from 1 species